CAUUGCCUGACGGUAUAUUGUACUUUUUAUUCAAUUUCUUGUAUCUGACAGUCACUAUAAGUUAGUUUAUUUUUUUACAGUGGGGUAUUGCUACUUUGCCAGGUAGUCUGGAUCAACAGAAGUAUAUUUCCAGGAUAAUUGCCUGACAUGUUCCUCACCUUGCUCUCUAGCUGUUGUUGCUCUCAAACUCGUUCAUUCCGGGAAACAACCAACUUCGAGCUAGCAAGCUACACGCUGAAAAUGGCAAGUUUUGAAGAAAAUUCAGUUUGUGCAACAAGGCAGGCAUGCUUGGUUCUUUUGGGGAAUGAUUGUAAAGAUGUAAUAUGUUUACGGCAUUUACUCUCUAACCUGGACGUUUUGGAACCUGGAGAGGAUUGCAAUGGACAAAGUACAUACACUGGUAUAUACUGUUCCUUCCCGAGACUAUUUUGCAGAGCCACCAUUGCUGCGUCCGGAGCGUAGGGCUGCCCAAGACGAUUGUGAUUGGCUUAAAGUAGGCCUAACGCAAACAACCCCAAGCGUUUUUUCUCCUAUCCCUGAAUACACUCCACAGCGCUGUGGAGAAAGACUUUUCAAGGGCCCUCUCUCCCCUUGGGCACUGGUAAUCAGUAUUGGUUUUCCCCCGUUCCGAUGCCCCUGCUUGGCAAUAAAGCCCUUUCUGAUUCUGA